UGCUUGCUUCGGCAGCACUUUACUAAAAUUGGAAUGAUACAGAGAUUAGCGUGGCCCCUGCACAAGGAGGACGUGCACAUCCAUGAAGUGUUCCAUAGUUAA
rnacentral:snRNA from 1 species